rnacentral:rRNA from 1 species
GAUGAACGCUGGCGGCGUGCCUAACACAUGCAAGUCGAACGAAGCACCUUACCGGAUUCUUCGGAUGAAAGUUUGGUGACUGAGUGGCGGACGGGUGAGUAACGCGUGGGUAACCUGCCCUGUACAGGGGGAUAACAGCUGGAAACGGCUGCUAAUACCGCAUAAGCGCACGAGGAGACAUCUCCUUGUGUGAAAAACUCCGGUGGUACAGGAUGGGCCCGCGUCUGAUUAGCUGGUUGGCAGGGUAACGGCCUACCAAGGCAACGAUCAGUAGCCGGUCUGAGAGGAUGAACGGCCACAUUGGAACUGAGACACGGUCCAAACUCCUACGGGAGGCAGCAGUGGGGAAUAUUGCACAAUGGGGGAAACCCUGAUGCAGCAACGCCGCGUGAGUGAAGAAGUAUUUCGGUAUGUAAAGCUCUAUCAGCAGGGAAGAUAAUGACGGUACCUGACUAAGAAGCUCCGGCUAAAUACGUGCCAGCAGCCGCGGUAAUACGUAUGGAGCAAGCGUUAUCCGGAUUUACUGGGUGUAAAGGGUGCGUAGGUGGCAGUGCAAGUCAGAUGUGAAAGGCCGGGGCUCAACCCCGGAGCUGCAUUUGAAACUGCUCGGCUAGAGUACAGGAGAGGCAGGCGGAAUUCCUAGUGUAGCGGUGAAAUGCGUAGAUAUUAGGAGGAACACCAGUGGCGAAGGCGGCCUGCUGGACUGUUACUGACACUGAGGCACGAAAGCGUGGGGAGCAAACAGG